GGAGACAGUGUGAAAGGUCUCUGGGACAACACCCACCCCUUACAAACAUGGGCUCCAUACUUCUAAGUACACUAUAGAGCAAUUCCAUACAUGACUUCCUGUCUAUCUACCCCAAUGCUUUCCUCUCAUUGCUGUUUCCUUAUUUUUAUUCAAUUCCUUCUCUUUUUAUUGUAUUUUUUUAGUUUUUCUUUCUUUCUUAAGAGUUUCUGGUAAGAAUAGGGUGAUAAGGGAACAUUUAAAGAAAAGUUAAAAGGAAAACACGUAUUUACAGGAAACUAAAAUCCUUCUAUGAAAAAGUUCUCUCCCUUACUUCUUCUAUUACUUAAACAGAUGGCACACAGUAGUUAAGAAAUCUGGAUCAAAAUCUCACAGUCUGUUUGGAUCACUGACCCAUUCAAAAUACAUAAUCCCUUACAAAAUAAAAUCUAAAGUUAAACGACUUCAGCGUAUUUUUUUUCUGGGUUUAUUUUCCCCAUUUAUGGAAGUGGUCUAAGCUACCUGAUAGCAAGGACUAUUUUACCUGUUAUAUUUGUAUUCACAUUCCCCUACUCACAUCACAUGUUAAAAAACUAAAGUUGAACUGAGCCAGGUGUACCUAAUAGUUUGUUGUGUGAAACUAUUUUGGAGAAAUAGUUUCAACCUCUUGACAAUGGGUUUAUACAGCUUCAAAAAUGAAUGAAAUAUCUCAAUCCAUAAACUUUAUGAGAUGUAUCAACAAAUAAAACUA
rnacentral:lncRNA from 1 species